GCCCUUAGUAAUGGCGAAUGAAACGGGCAGAGCCCAGCACCGAACCGCCAGCUCUCCGGGGUUGCGUGGAAUGUGGUGUUCGGGAGAGCCUCCUCGAGGCGAUCGGAUCCGUCCAAGUCCAUCUUGACUGGGGCCACUGCCCGCAGAGGGUGAUAGGCCCGUGGGACGGUCUGGUCGUCGCGCUGGCUUUUCCCUAGAGUCGAGUUGCUUGGGAGUGCAGCUCAAAGUGCGUGGUAAACUCCACGUAAGGCUAAAUAUGACCCCGAGACCGAUAGCGAACAAGUACCGUGAGGGAAAGUUGAAAAGAACUUUGAAGAGAGAGUUCAACAGUACGUGAAACUGUGUAGCGGUAAACGGAGGGGCUCUCGAAGUCCGGGUGGGAGAUUCAGGUCGACGGCCGGGGCGGCCUCUCGGGCGUUUGGGAUCCGCGAGGACCCCGUCCGGGAGUUCGGCUCCGUCGGCGGCUGCACUUCUCCCGCCCCGUCUGGGCGCGACGUGCCGCUGGGACGAGACCGAGGGCGAGGGUGAAGUUUGUCGCGACUCCGGUCGUGGCGAGCCCUUCGUCUCUGGCUCUCGACCCGGCGGGUCUCAUUCGUGACGGUCUCGUAUAGCGAGCGACCUUCGCUGUCGCGGGCCGUCCGUCUGUCGCGAGUAGGUCGGCGGCCCCUCCGACCCGUCUUGAAACACGGACCAAGGAGUCUAACAUGCGCGCGAGCUGCCGGGCUGACUAAACCCGGGGGCGUAGUGAAGGCGAAGGGUGUUUUGUUCAUCCUAGGGGCGAUCCCGCAAGGGCGCAGCCCCGGCGCUUCGCGUCGACCUCGCAUCGUGCGGAGCAGCAAGAGCGUGUGCGUUGGGA
rnacentral:rRNA from 1 species